CUUGGUCAUUUAGAGGAAGUAAAAGUCGUAACAAGGUUUCCGUAGGUGAACCUGCGGAAGGAUCAUUAUUGAAUCCAUAGGAUGUUGCUGGUCCUUUGGGGCACCGUGCACUCCACCUUUUCAAUUCACCUGUGAACUUAUUGUAGGCCAGUCUUGGCUUAUGUUUUUACACACCCUUUUAUAAAAAUGUUUAUAGAAUGUGUUGGUAGGCCUUUAUGGUCAGAAACUUAAUACAACUUUCAACAACGGAUCUCUUGGUUCUCGCAUCGAUGAAGAACGCAGCGAAUUGCGAUAUGUAAUGUGAAUUGCAGAAUUCAGUGAAUCAUCGAAUCUUUGAACGCACCUUGCGCCCUUUGGCAUUCCACGGGGCAUGCCUGUUUGAGUGUCAUUAAAUUCUCAACUUCAUUAUUAUUUUUGAAGCUUGGACUUUGGGGGUUUGCUGGUGUCAUUGUCAGCUCCUCUUAAAUUCAUUAGCGGAACUUUGUAAGGACCGGCUUUGGUUUGAUAGUGAUAUAUCUAUGCCGUCGCUGUGGACCUUUUUUUUGUUUGGCUUCUAAUGGUCCAUUGAUAUUGGACUGUCUCUCUAAGAGGCAUACACUUUUAAGCUUGACCUCAAUCAGGCAGGACUACCCGCUGAACUUAAGCAUAUCAAUAAGCGGAGGAAAAGAAACUAACAAGGAUUCCCUAGUAACUGCGAGUGAAGAGGAAGAGCUCAAAUUUAAAAUCUGGCUGUUCUAUGCAGUGGCCCGAGUUGUAGUUUAGAGAAGUGUUAUCCGCGCUGGCCUAUGCAAAAGUUUCUUGGAAAAGAACAUCAUAGAGGGUGACAAUCCCGUCUUUGGCAUAGAAUAACCAGGGCUUUUGUGAUAUGCUCUCGACGAGUCGUGUUGUUUGGGAAUGCAGCACUAAAUGGGUGGUAAAUUCCAUCUAAAGCUAAAUAUUGGCGAGAGACCGAUAGCGAACAAGUACCGUGAGGGAAAGAUGAAAAGAACUUUGAAAAGAGAGUUAAACAGUACGUGAAAUUGUUGAAAGGGAAACGCUUGAAGUCAGUCAUGUCUUCCAGGGAUCAAGUUGCCCUCAUGGGUGACCGUACUUUCUGGUUGACGGGUCAGCAUCAAUUUUGACCGUUGGAAAAAGGCCUUGGGAAUGUGGCAUCCUCGGAUGUGUUAUAGACCAUGGUUGAAUACAACGAUUGGGAUUGAGGAACUCAGUGUGCCUAUAUAUGGUUGGGGCUUUCUUGCUUACACCACACACUUAGGAUGCUGGCAUAAUGGCUUUAAUCGACCCGUCUUGAAACACGGACC
rnacentral:rRNA from 1 species